AUGAACGCUGGCGGCGUGCCUAAUACAUGCAAGUCGAGCGAACAGACGAGGAGCUUGCUCCUCUGACGUUAGCGGCGGACGGGUGAGUAACACGUGGAUAACCUACCUAUAAGACUGGGAUAACUUCGGGAAACCGGAGCUAAUACCGGAUAAUAUAUUGAACCGCAUGGUUCAAUAGUGAAAGACGGUUUUGCUGUCACUUAUAGAUGGACCCGCGCCGUAUUAGCUAGUUGGUGAGGUAACGGCUCACCAAGGCAACGAUACGUAGCCG
rnacentral:rRNA from 1 species